UUUCUAGUGAAUCAAUACUAGAUAAGCCCUGCCCCACGUAAUUAAGUGGCCGCGGUACAAUAACCGUGCUAAGGUAGCAUAAUCAAUUGUUUAUUAAUUGUAAAAUUGAAUGAAAGGGUAAACAAAAUAAAGACUGUCUCUUAUAAACCUACAUAAACUAUCCUCUUUAUGAAGAGAUAAAGAUAAAAUUAAAGGACAAGAAGACCCUACAGAGCUUAAAAAUAAAUUUAAUAAUUAAACUAAAGUUUGGUUGGGGCGACCUAAGAUAAAUAAAAACAUCUUUAAAUUUAUAAGAUAUACUAAUCUAUAUAAUGAUCCUAAAAAGAUCAAUGAACCAAGUUACCUUAGGGAUAACAGGCUAAUAAUUUUUAAGAGUUCUUAUCUAAAAAAUAGAUUGGCACCUCGAUGUUGGCUUAGGAAUACUAUUGCUCGCAAAAGAGCCUAUAGGUGGUUUGUUCAACCAAUAAUAUCCU
rnacentral:rRNA from 1 species